UGCCAAUGAUGAAAGAAUUGGUGUUUUGUAAUUUAUGAUAAAUUGUGAUUACAAUACCACUACUGCCUUCCUUCUGAGGCU